GUGAUAUGUGGCACUUUGAAUGUGUGCUAGCAGUUGGGUUAUCCUCCUGUCUGUCGUGUGCUGGCUGUUGGCCAGUUUUCAGAUAUGGGCCUGCAAGUAGCUGUAAUCCUGCGUGGUGAGCGACCAUGUGUAUUGCAGCAUUGUACUGUUUGCUUGCAGGAUUGAUUGCACGUCCAGGGGUUUCUAAUGAUCUUAAUUGAAGCGUAACGAACCUCAAGUAACUGACUGCACUUCUGCUCUGCUCUACUCCGUUUUGUUCUGUCUGGAAUUCAUCUGGGUCCGUCUGUUAUAUUUUGUUUUGUAUUGUUUGGUGUGUGGAUUUAGGUGGGAGGGGUUGGCCAUGG